UCGGCUCCAUGCAAACUUUUGGGGUGUUGGCCAUCGCUCAUCUCCCAGGAAACAACGUUGCAUUGGUUUCUACUCUAAACUGCGUACACCUGGGCAGAACCGCAGCUCCGGUUUCAGUUCCGACCUCACUUCUCCUUCCAUGUACACCCACACGCUGUCCCUAAAGCCUCUGGAUCCUGCUCGGACUCCCUGAGCACACUAGGCUGGGUGAACAUCGGCCACUUUCAAGCAACGGCUGGACUACACGAUCUGAAACAUGAUCAUCUGAGAGUCCAAAGUCAUGCUGACUCUGGCGGGGGUGAUUGAACGCAUCAGGCAUGCCGUCUUCACUUGCGAGAACAAUGCAAGACAGAGGUGGCAGCGGUGGCGGCGGUGACGGCAUUUACGGGAGAGCGACAUGACUCACGCAGAAAUUUCAGCACUUCUUCUUCU